UAAAGAUUUAAAAGUACGAUAUAAUUCGAUAAGAAACAAAGUUAGAAUUAUUGAUACCGUAAAUAAGAUAUUUGGUCAAAAUUUUUGUUCCGUUUUUUUGCGCUAAUGUAUAAUACUAGACUGAAAUAUGUUAGUCCAUAAAAGAGAUUGAGAUGAAAUAAGUAAAAGGGAUGUCUAACUUUUUUUUACAUUGAAAAGACUUUGAACUAAUAGUUUAUUGCUAAUUUGCCGUCGUUUUUGUUGACAGACCUACCUCAUGUUUGUUGUCAAUUUGCCGUCAUUUCUGCAGACAGAUCUGUGUUGGGUUUGUCGUCAAUCUGUAAAUUCUACAGAUCUAUUAAAUAUUUGGUGCAAAUCUAUCAUCAAUCUGCAAUUGACAAACAUGCUGUUGAUUUGUUGCUUUAAUCUGAUGUCUUACUGUUAAUGACAAUUUUGCUACAGUAUUGCAAUAAAUUUUGUAUUAGAAUAUGAGAUCAAAUUUUGGUUGCAACUGGAGCGCAUUCGAAGACACAGUAGGCCUUGGAUUGACAAUCUUACUCCGCAGACAAUUGUUAUUGACUUAUUAUUAGCCAUUUGGCAGCAAACUGUUUAACUGGUUAUAUUAUUGUCGAACUAUUUACUACAUUUGCAUGCUUUCUAUUGUCAACUACUAAAUGUAUUAAUCUGUUGCAUUUCUGUCGUCAACGUGUUUGCUAUGUUGUGAGUGAGACACUCACAUCGGAAAGAUAAAAAUGUGUCAGCAGUAACAUACUUCGCGAUGACGUAAAUCGAUCAGCUGCAUCAGUCAGCAUCGAGUGUAAUGCACGAAGUACCGCGCAGUCUUCCCGACAUUAGCGCAAUGCUCCUUAGACAGCAUUUGUUGUCUAAGCAAAAUUUUGAACCACUGAUUGAAUUACGCGUAAUUCUCUUUCUCGACCAAAUAACUAAAAUUGACAAAUAUAUAAACCGUUGAAAGAAAGCGAGAGACGGGUCAGUCUGAAUCCAAAACACGGUAUUCUGCUAUGCGGGGUUGUGUAUCUCUGACACAAAACUCCGAGUGGGCGUACCGAUCCACCGUUUGUACUAGAUCGCGACACUCUACCUUGCGGGGUCGCGACCCAACGUUAUCGAAUCCGAAAUUACCGUUAACAGAAUAUUGUAAGCGAAGAACAAUAAACUGUAAAUUUAAGUAAAACGUGGUAUGAGUGACUUCGACUCGGAUGCUUAGCAGCGAUUUUUUCAGUACUUUACUCCGGGGGUACAAGAGUAGUGGCAGCAGUAAUAUUUACUGCCAAAAGAUCUAAGAGAAGCCGAGUGUCACAGGACAAUCAGCUGUAAGGCCAAGACCACUCAUAUUAAUGUAAGUUCGACACACGUAAAUUGUAACGCGAAUUAAGCGUAAAACGAACACAAUAUUGUAAAGUGUAAAUACCGAUUGACUUCCGGUAACCACGAUUACCAUAAAUCAUGAAAAGCUAGAAUAGAUACCAAAAUAAAUGGUACGAAUGUGUCAGCGCAGAGCGACAUACAAUAUCACAAAAUAAGUAACAACGCGAACUCAGCGUGCGCGAAUAAACUGAACGUAAAUGUCCGCCGAAUUAGUAUUGAUACCGCUCUUAAUAUUGUCCAAGACGCGUUUACUGAAAUAUUUGAUAGCGCGAUAAGAGUUUUGGCCGAGUUUUAGCCGAGUGAACUCUUUGUUGAACAUUACGACCGAACGUGCAUUCCCAAUACAGCGACCAAAUCUCAAUUUAAUAGACAACAUGGACAUACGUUUAUCAACGCGAACAGACGUAGCGAGAAAUUUGACACGAUCUCCAAGAAAUUAAAAUGAUAAAAUUCUUGGAAUCAGCGAGCAGCGACAGCGACGAGAGUUUGAGUGAUGACUUGAGUCUUUGGCGCGCACGGCCGCAGCGUAUCGGAUUACGCACGUGAAACAUACGGACUGUGUCUUAGACUGCCCGUAUGCGAGGCUGAACGAGGAAAAAUCAAAUUUCUGUUCGAUACCAUCGCAACCAAUUCGUUCAUAAAAUUGAAAACAUUGAAGGAUGACACCAUUAUUCAUAAAGAAAAAAUCAAACUUACCGGUUUUACCGGCCACUUGAUUACAACCAUAGGAAAAACUCAUAUACGUAUUCCGAUCCGAGAUGGAAAAAAUUAGAUACUCGGUAUAUGUAAUACAAGAUAAUACGCCUGUGGAAUACGGAAUAUUAGGCGCCGACUUUAUACGCAAACAUAAAAUAAUGUGAUUACGGCCGAAAAAUAGUAAAAAUCGGGAAGAUGAGUUUUAAGCUUUAGGCCACAUAAGGAAAUCAUGUUACAGCCACGCAGCAAACUAUCGCGCGAGUCACCACUGAUCGAAAGAAGAUAGGAGUGACCUAAAGGAAAAGGUCUGAAGCAUUUAUCGGUAUCUAUUCAAUAAAGUCUCCGAAUUUUGAAUGCCUUACAAGCAUCUUGGACGCAAAUACUAAUAUAGUAGUAUCACACGUACCUCUCAAAGAGAUUUCAACCGGCAAAGUUAUUGACAAAGACAUUCGAAAAGGGAGUGUCUCAUUUGCCCACAUCAAUAUUGGCCACGUGUCAAUAUUGCCCACGUCAAUAUUGGCCACGCGUCAAUAUUGCCCACGUCAAUAUUGGCUACGACAAUAUUGGCCACAUUAAUUGGGCCACGCGUCAAUAUUGCAUACGUCAAUAAUGGCCACACGUAAUAUUGUCUACGUCAAUAUUGACCACGCAUCAAUAUUGCCCACGUCAAUAUUAGCCACGCAUCAAUAUUGCCCACGUCAAUAUUAGCCACGCAUCAAUAUUGCCUAUGUCAAUAUUAGCCACGCAUUUCUGUCCAGGACACCCUUGCCGAAAGCCCUGCCUUACACCAUCCCGUAUGUGUAUGUAUGUGUGUGUGUCCACACAAAAUGAGAUCCUUAUAAACACCGAUUUCUUAACCACAUUAACUGUGUUUGUUUGUCUAAUAUUGACGUGACCAAUAUUAACGCGUGGCAACUAUUGACGUAUGGCCAGUAUUGACGUGGCCAAUAUUGACGUGGACAAUCGGUACCGUGGCCAAUAUUGACGUGGACAAUCGGUUGUUGUUAAUACUGACGUGGGUAAACGGGUGUCAUUCAUUCAAAAAUACGGCAUGUGCGAGGAACUGCCACCGCGAGAAGAACAGAUAAAAAACCUCUUAGAUAGCCAAGUUUGUCGAAAACUUUGUAAAAUCUUGCUACAAAUCUUGUUGACAAGAAAGCACCAAACUUGAUGCAAAUUUUAUUAUAUUCAAUAAUGUCAGCAAUUUGAUGACAAAUAUACAGCAAAAUUUGAUGACAUAAUCUGACGACAAAUUGAAAGCAAAGAUCAUGCAAAAUUUAUAGAAAACUUGGCAACAAAUUGUCUGCAAAUCUUGUUGAUAAAAUUCAACAACAAAUUGUCGACAAAAACUGAGCAAAGUUUGUUGAUAUACUUGAUGACAAAUUGACAGCAAAAACUGAGCAAACCUUACAGACAUAAUGUGACAGCAAAUUGUCUGCAAAAAUUGAACAAACCUUACUGACAUAAUCUGAUAACAAAUUGAUGACAAAAACUGAUUAAAGUGUGCUACUUUAUUUAAAUUGAUAAUUUCGUAUUUAAACUGACUGAUAAUAUCAUGUUGUUAUUGACUGAUAAUAUCAUGUUACAAAAUUGCAGCCCGCUCUGCUAUAAAGUAAAAUAAAAUGUACUGCACUUUAUUUUUUUAAAUUAAAUUAAAAGAACUACCCCAAUAAAAUAGUUACGUGACUCCCACGUGGAAUCCACGUGAUUUACAUGAUUUACGUGGAUGCAGAUUUUUCCACAAGUUAUCCACGUGGAUACAAUGUUCUUUUUUCAUUACUGCAUCGAAUUUUUUUAUUCUCGAAAUAUCUAUUAGAUUUUUUGUGGGUAUAUUUGUUAAGAAAUAUUUAUAGGGAAUUUACAUGGAUAUUUCGAGGAACGCCAUGUGCUUAUUUGCCAGUUAGGCACCGUCGACAGGCGGCUAACUCUUUCGGAAGUAAGAUGCAGCCAACGCGCUACAAAAGACCACCCGCAGCAUCAUUAAGACAAGCAAUAGUCAGCUUUUGCCCGAUGCGGAAGAGGACUUCCAUAUAAUACUUUUAUGAUUUACUCAUUUUAAUUGAGUGAACGAUUCGCUACAAGAAAAGUGAAACGUUCACUCCAGUUGAAUAAAGAGUUAUUAAGCGAAAAAUUUCUUAUAGGAAGUGAGAUGUAACUCCAUUUCGAGUGACCGUAUUUUCAACAAGGUUUAUUUGGUUUUUGCUGAUAAUUUGUUGUUACAUUAUGUCUGCAAAGUUUGCUCAGUUUUUGCUGACAAUUUGCUGUCAAGUUAUGUCAACAAGUCUUGUCGCCAAAAUAGAAGCUUAAUGCGGACACCAUUGAUAUUUGUUGGAUAUUUUUGAUCGAAUUUGGCGUCAAUUUGUGUGCAAAUUGCUAACAUUUUGUUAUCUGGGCUAUUGCGAACAGAUCAAUUAAAUGACGACGAAAGGAAAACGUUAGAAGUCUAUCAUGAACUUAGCAAUAAAAAAUAUUUAAGUGGCGAUGAACUAUCGCACCCGCCCAAAAUACAAAACGGGAUAAACGUACGAAUCUAUAUUUUAAGUAUCAAUGUUAGGCUUUACCAUCGACCGGAAACACAAAAGUAGGAAGCAAAUAAACGAUGCUGAAACAAAAGACUACAAGUCCUAGCAUCUUUGCUUAUAGUUACGAGAAAGGCAAAAUGCGCCUCAAACCGAAUACUCAGAACAUUUAAACGAAGAAAAAAUUGAAAUAAGGAAUAUUACUACAGAUUGCGACAAAUAUUAUACUUGCGUAUAAUUCUUAUUUUUUAAAUUAAAAGAAAUUUCCUGCGAGAUGUUAUAUAUUAUAUUUAUUAUUGAAAUACCUCACCAUCCGUACUUACUGUAUGAACAUACAAAUAUUGUGAUAUCCGACACCUUGUAACGAACGAAACAAUUUGGUUACUCUAGCAGAACCAAGGAUCUGGCUAUUUUCUAUUGCAAAGGAACAAGACGUGACAAUAACUUGCACAGAUCGAAAAGAAAAAAAAUUUAUUUUAAACCGAUCUGAGAAAUUAAUGUUAAAUGCUGGAUGUUCUGUAACCACAAAAUUUGUCACGCUACGGACCGCAGAACAAGCUGUAACGCAACAAGUCACAGUACACAUGCCAAGUUACAAUUUUUUGCAAAUUCGCGAAGAAGGUAAAAUUAAAAUAAAACUUGCCCUUAAUUCAACUAAGAAAAAUGAUAAAAGACUCUAACGAACUAAUAACAUUUAGCUAGAGUUUUAAACGAUAUGACGCUUUACGCGGAUGAUAUUGACCUAAUAAAAACCUUUACGUACCCGACAGGAUUAACAAUUAUCAUUAUUGUAAUCGUAAUAUAUAAACAUAGAAAAACAAAAUUUGUAAAUCACUAGUGUAGCAGUACAACUAUAAGCGAAAACUCUGUUUCUUCGUUUUUUUUUUAUUAGGGAAAUUUUUUAAAAUUCAAAAUUUUAACAAAAUGGCAGACCUUUAAAAUCAGAAUGUCGAUUUCUGGCCAAAAAUUUUAUUUUUGUUUGUUAAAAAAAAAUAGGAAAAAUUCGAAUUUUUAAAAUCGGAUACAACAACGACAAGCAAAUUGCAUAAGUUUUUAGUUUAAAAAAAAGAUAGAUCGGUUAAUCCGUCUUCAAGUUAUCAUUGUUACCGACUUUAAAGACAUGGUUUUGAGAAAAACGCGUUUAAAAUUUUAGAACGAUGUUACUCUAUUGUAAAACUGAAUUUAUUCAACUUAUCAUUGUCAAUUCCUGGGCCAUAUUGGGAACCCUCCUGUUCAAAAUCUGUCUCUAUUUGUUGAUUUUUAAAGAGACGGCGACUUAUACGAACCUCCCGCGUCGCGUGCUGUGCCCGGAUGUCAGAAAAGGCAAGCGCACGCCUGUGCACUGCCCGACAAAAUAUAUUGUGUAACUUUUUUACUUAUUGGAAUAAAAAAAAAACAGUUUUAGGACAACAUUCUUGAAAGUUUAAACUGUCAAAAAAUGCAAUAAAAAAUCGAUUUUUUAACCCAACAAACUGCUAUGCCCCCUUAAAAAGUUUUUUUAUUUGUUUGUAAAAUCUUACACUAUUUAUAAGAAAAAAGAUAAAAAUAUUUAAAAAAUUUAAUUGAAAGAGAGAGAGAGAGAGAGAGAGAGAGAGAGAGAGAGAGAGAGAGAGAGAGAGAGAGAACUACGUACCUUACACUGGAGGUAUGUUAUACUCCAAUUUUUCGGAGCAUCUACUUUGAUCGAUUGCCAGAAGCAGAUUGACGCCGCGCUGGUAAUAGCAACCGUUUCAAUUUAAAGAGACACGUUUUGAUUACUAACAAAUGGCACCGUUUUUAUAAGUACCGUUUUCAUCGAUUUACGUAUCUAAAAUUGAGCUUGAAAAUGUGCUGGGGUAUGUUAUACCCUAGGUGUAGGCUAAAGUAUAAAGAAAGUGAAGGACGGGUCAGUCUGAAUUCGAAACACGACACUCUGCUUUGCGGGGUUGUGUAUCUCCGAUACAAAACACUACUCCGAGUGGACAUAUCGAUCCAUCGUCUUUACUAUAUCGCGGCACUAUGCCUUGCGAGAUUGCGAUUCAACGUUAUCAAACCCGAAACUACGAUGCGUUAACAGAAUAUUGUAAGCGAGGAACUAACUCUAAUAAGUGUGAGGAAUAAACUGUAAGUUUGAGUAAAACGUGGUGUGAGUGACUUCGACCCGGAUUCUUGGCAGCGAUUAUUUUAGUACCUCAGACUUCGGAAAUACAACAGAUAUACCUACAUGCUAUUGACCACCAAUCUGAUGUCCCCUGUAAUCAUAUCUGCUGAGGCAAAUGUUGGCAACAGAUUUUAUUACCAAAAAGGCAGCAAGUGAGAUACGUAUCUUGUCAUUGCAAACAUUGUUACCAGAUAUUCAGCAAAUAUUUAGCAACAUCUGUUAUCAGAAUACAUGACAAAAUGAUAGUGCGAGCAGAUUUGUUGAAAGUAUUAAUGACAUAUUGACGACAAACACCAAAGUGCAAACAAUAUCAGUAAAUUGCCUGUAGAAGUGCAACAUUAUCUGUGCGUCAAAGUACGCGACAAAUUGAACUAGAAACUAGAAACGCAGCACAUCCGUCGAAAUGUUAAAUUGAUAAUAAAAAUCGCGGCACCACCGAAAGGUGACUUAACUCUCUCGGCAGUAAGAUGCGGUCGAUGCGUUACAUAAAGAGUUCCCUUGUAAGGCAAACAAAAAUUAGCAUCUUUUACUGCGCAUGCGAAAGUGCCAGAUGUGGUGAAGAACCACCACAUAAUACUUUUACAGGAUGUAUUUAAGUGAGAUGUUACUCCAUUUCAACUGGCAGUAUUUUUACUUUUUUGGAGUGACAUUUUACUCUAAGAAAAUUUAGAGAGAUAGCUUUCAUUGAUUCUCAAGUAAAAUCAUGUUUAUGAAAUCGAAAUUUAGGUUCAACAGAUCUGUCGCCAAUCUGUCGUUAUUUCUGUGUACAGAUUUGGGGCGUAUUUGGCGCAAUUCUGCUGUAUAUUAACGUUGCAACAUCUGUUCUUAAUUUGCUGCAUUAAUUUGUCAUUGUAUUGUCAAUGACAAAUUUGCUCUGGUGUUGUAUCCAAUUUGAUAUCAGGAUUUGAUAAUUUUUGUUUGCAAUUUGGGCGCAUUCGAGGACACAGUAGGCCAUGAUUUUGGCAGCCUGAUUCCACAAGAAAUUGUUAGCAGUCUGUUAACAACUUGGCAACAAAUGGUUAGCUGGGUGUGUUUGGUAACUUUUAUAUUUGCAUUAAACAAAGCUACUUUGGUGUUGCCAUAAAUCUUUUGUCAAUGCUCUUGACAAUUCUGCUUGCUGUUUACCAUUAUUUUGUUAAAUAAUCUAACUGGUAUUGGUGAAUUUUUGUUAAAAUUAUGCGCGCAGUAUUUUUAAUGUCAAAAUUUGUUUCACAUUUGCUGGCUUUUGGCAAACAUAAUUUGUUACCAAUAUUUGUCUUUUUAGAAAUGGUUAUUGAGAUAAAUGAACCUUAUCACUUUGUUAGAGGAGUGGUCUUUAAUAAGUUAGUAAAUAUUAAAUAUUUUUUUUUAUCAAUUAAUCUUUAGAGGACCGGUCCUUUUUUGGACGACUUUUUUAGUUUUAGUGCUAGAACAUGUUAGUCCUUGUCAGUGAGUUGAACUACGAAAAAGAUGAUAUUGCUCUUUUUCUUAAUAUUAGGCUUCGGUCCCGGAAAUGUUAAUAUACCAAAAGAUAUCUUUAUUAAAGGAUUAUGCUCUGGAAUUAAAAUCUUACAAGGAGAUGCUGCUAUCUGCUAAAUUUACUUUCGAAUGAGCCAUGGUGCAUUCGAAAGAGGAAGUGAAAAGCAAAAUCCGUGUUUUGGUUUUUGAGUGAAUGGGCCUUAGUUUCUGAGAAAAUUGCAUCUAAAUAUGUACGUUUUUUGCUGGUAAAGUAAGUAUAAUGGAAAGUCACUUUUAAGCACGAAGCGCGAUGGCCGUAGGUGCUAAUGCGCGGCUAUUGUUUUGCUAUCUGUACGAACUGGGUUUGAGAUUAGUUAUAAUACAAUUUUUUUUUAGUUUAUAUUCCAAUUAAAUUAAUUUUCUUUAUUCUUUAACCCGUUGACGGCUAUAGCCGCAAAAACAAAAGUGGCCAAGAGUGUGUAUGACGGCUAUAGCCGCAACGUAGAAAAAACAAAGUAAAACUUUCUGAAUUUGUUUGAAACUUGUAACUCGGGGGUUUCUGGGGUCGCUAAUUACGAAUCCGAAGUUAGAUGUACAAAAUUCAAAAUGGCGGAUCCAAUAUGGCGGAUCAAAAUGACAAAAAAUGAUCUGAUUUUAAAUUUGGUACCAUAGACAUAGUAAGUAUAGACCGAGCAUUCCGCUGUAUAAGCGUUGAUGCAUACGAAAAGAAAGAGAAAAGAUAUAUGAAGAACCUCUUUCUCUUUUUAAUGCCGGAGAAGUGGGAAGUACUUCUCCUCAGCUCCUUGCGUCGAACCAUCAUUUCCCCUGUCAGGCUCUCCCUACAAAUAUUGAUGUCAGAGAGAGAGAGAAAGAGAUUCUUCAUAUAUCUUUUUUCUUUCUUUUCGUAUGCAUCAACGCUUAUACAGCGGAAUGCUCGGUCUAUACUUACUAUGUCUACGUUUGGUACCCUUAUGUUUUUGGGUCUCUGAAUCCGAAUAUGAAAUUAAAAUUCAAAAAUGGUGCAAUAUGGCGCUUUAAAAUACUAAUUUCAUCUAUUUUUUGUAAUUUUGAUUCGCCAUCUUGAAUUUUGUAAAUCUGACAUCAUAUUCGGAUUCAGAAACCCAAAAAACAUAAGGGUAUCAAGUUUUAUAAUAAUCCGAUAAACUUUUUUUUUCAACACACUUGGCCCAAAUAGUAAAAUUCUCUUACACAGCCAAUGGGUUAAUAUAAAAAAGAAUUUCGCGGUUAUAAUAAAUUUCUAUAAUGUUAUCAAAUGUAAUAAAAAAUAACGAUACAUUUUUUAAUAUAUAAUUCUGAUAUUUUUGUACAAUAUCGCGCUUAUUUUUUAACUUUGAUGUAAUUAUUUUGUAAUAUAUUUUCUAGAUAUUUCUAAAUAUUUUCUAGAUAUUUUCAGAUAUUUCUAUAUUAUUCUAAUGUAGAACAUGCAUAGUGAAGAAAGGAAAGAAUUAAAUUCACAAUAUGAUGCCUUAAGAAUUCAAUCCUUAACUCAUUAUUUAUUAUGUUCUCUAUAAUUUAUAAACAUGAUCAAAUUUGCUUGGUACGCGUCAAAGUUAGCGAAUAAACGUGACAUAUUUUAUAAUAUUAAUCAGUCGUGUUUUCUACCCAACACGUACAUAACAACAUACAUAACAAAGAAUGUAUUUGCAACACGCGAGUUGCAUUUAUAAUAUGUUCAUGGUAUGAGAACAUGUUUUCAAUGUUCUUAUAUAAAUUUUCAUCCACAACAUUGUACACAAAUGUCACAAUUUUAUAAUAAAUAAAAGAAGUAUUAUUUUUUAUUAUAUUUGAUAACAUUAUAGAAAUUUAUCAAAACUGCAAAAUUGUUUAUUUUAAAGAAUAAAAAAAAUUAAUUUAAUUGGGAUACAAAUUGGAAAGAAAUUGUCACAAACUGGUUUUGAACCCAGCUCACACGGAUAACAAAACAGUAGGCGCGCACUUAGCAUCACGCUUUAUGUCGAGAACUGACUUUCCAUUGUACUUACCUUACGGGCCAAAAAUGCACAUAUUUAGAUGCAAUUUUCUUAAAAAAAAAAAA